AGAGUUUGAUCCUGGCUCAGAACGAACGCUGGCGGCAUGCUUAACACAUGCAAGUUAAACGGGCUAAUUUAGGGCUUGCUCUAAUUUAGCAAGUAGCAAACGGGUGAGUAACACGUGGGAAUCUCCCCAUCAGUACGGAAUAACAUUUGGAAACAAAUGCUAAUACCGUAUAUUCUCUGCGGAGAAAAGAUUUAUCGCUGAUGGAUGAGCCCGCGUCAGAUUAGGUAGUUGGUAGGGUAAUGGCCUACCAAGCCAACGAUCUGUAGCUGGUCUGAGAGGAUGAUCAGCCACACUGGGACUGAGACACGGCCCAGACUCCUACGGGAGGCAGCAGUGGGGAAUAUUGGACAAUGGGCGCAAGCCUGAUCCAGCAAUGCCGCGUGAAUGAUGAAGGCCUUAGGGUUGUAAAGUUCUUUUAGUAGGGAAGAUAAUGACGGUACCUACAGAAAAAGCCCCGGCUAACUCCGUGCCAGCAGCCGCGGUAAG
rnacentral:rRNA from 1 species